rnacentral:snRNA from 1 species
GUGCUUGCUUUGGUAGCACAUAUACUAAWAUUGGAAUAAUACAGAGAAGAUUAGCAUGGCC